ensembl:lncRNA
AGGCUGUUGGCUGCACAUACACCCGCUCGCACACUUUCACUCAGAGGCCCGACGAGCCGAGGGUCUGAGUCCGUGCGCCCUCGCUGGCACUUUGUGUUUCUGCAGGUGAUCGCUGACGUGCUGUAACUUAACAGACUAAUUCUGGAUCCGCUGUGAAGCAGCUGUGGGACAGUUUGUCACUGGCUGAGAAACAGCAUUCACUGCAGGAAUCCACACUGAAUGUGAGGACGAGCACAUCUAGAUGUUCCCUUUAUCUGCCUCCAAAAUAAAAACCGUGCAGAGCAGAAGAAACAAAUGUUGGUGUAAUCAGAGGACAUGCAACAGGAGUUUACAGGCGUGGACUGCAACUGUCCCAGCUGACAGCGAGCCUCCACUCCAACCCCACAUCCACGAGGUUUGCAGAGAGGAACACGCACUCAGCGAAGGAGAUUUAAGUCUUCGUGGCCUCGUUUUUAUCUUUGUACUGCUUCCAGUUUUGUACUCUGUGUGUCACAUGUGGCAUCCUGGUCAGUAAAUGAAUAUAUGAUCAAUAAAAACAAAAUAAAC